GUCUUUUAAAUCAUGGAAACUUCCAGUAUUACUAUUAGAUGCAGGUGGUUUUUCAUUUUCCUCAAGGAUGUCAUCCAAUUUCAGAAUAACUGCUGGGAUCCUUUUCCUUAAUAGAUCAAAUUCCUUAUCCUUCUUGUGUGGCAAACAGGAACCCCUUUCUUUAAGGUAUUCCCUUUUUAGACUAUAAUAAUCCUCAGUCAGCUGAUGCACAGUUGAUUCAUGGUCUCUCCUCAACUUUGUUAUGAUGUUAUUGAAAUGAGCCACCAGUUCUUCCUUGUUCAGGUGUUUCAGUUGAACUGCUUCAUAGUUCUCGGGCACAUCUGUUGUAGAACCCUCUAACUUAAGGUAUUCCCUUUUUAGACUAUAAUAAUCCUCAGUCAGCUGAUGCACAGUUGAUUCAUGGUCUCUCCUCAACUUUGUUAUGAUGUUAUUGAAAUGAGCCACCAGUUCUUCCUUGUUCAGGUGUUUCAGUUGAACUGCUUCAUAGUUCUCGGGCACAUCUGUUGUAGAACCCUCUAACUUUCCAUUUCCAUCCCAAAGAGAUGAUGAGGAAUUAAUGUGGUUGCUCAAGGCCCUGCGGUGGAAAUGAUCUGCAUCAUGAGAUCC
rnacentral:lncRNA from 1 species